rnacentral:rRNA from 1 species
AGUGAACGCUGGCGGUAGGCCUAACACAUGCAAGUCGAACGGCAGCACAGUAAGAGCUUGCUCUUACGGGUGGCGAGUGGCGGACGGGUGAGGAAUACAUCGGAAUCUACUUUUUCGUGGGGGAUAACGUAGGGAAACUUACGCUAAUACCGCAUACGACCUACGGGUGAAAGCAGGGGAUCUUCGGACCUUGCGCGAUUGAAUGAGCCGAUGUCGGAUUAGCUAGUUGGCGGGGUAAAGGCCCGCCAAGGCGACGAUCCGUAGCUGGUCUGAGAGGAUGAUCAGCCACACUGGAACUGAGACACGGUCCAGACUCCUACGGGAGGCAGCAGUGGGGAAUAUUGGACAAUGGGCGCAAGCCUGAUCCAGCCAUACCGCGUGGGUGAAGAAGGCCUUCGGGUUGUAAAGCCCUUUUGUUGGGAAAGAAAAGCAGCAGGUUAAUACCCCGCUGUUCUGACGGUACCCAAAGAAUAAGCAUCGGCUAACUUCGUG